GAACUCGAUGUCCCGGCAGUACACAAGCUAAAAUUAGAACGACACCAAGAGGAUUAGUAUGGCCCCUAUUCAAGGAUGACACACAAAUUCAUAAAGCGGUCAUUCUUAUU